CAGUCGCCGCGGUAAUACAGAGGGUGCGAGCGUUAAUCGGAUUUACUGGGCGUAAAGCGUGCGUAGGCGGCUUUUUAAGUCGGAUGUGAAAUCCCCGAGCUUAACUUGGGAAUUGCAUUCGAUACUGGUUAGCUAGAGUGUGGGAGAGGAUGGUAGAAUUCCAGGUGUAGCGGUGAAAUGCGUAGAGAUCUGGAGGAAUACCGAUGGCGAAGGCAGCCAUCUGGCCUAACACUGACGCUGAGGUACGAAAGCAUGGGGAGCAAACAGGAUUAGAUACCCCCGUAGUCCCUGUCUCUUAUAU
rnacentral:rRNA from 1 species